rnacentral:rRNA from 1 species
AGCGAACGCUGGCGGCAGGCCUAACACAUGCAAGUCGAACGAACUCUUCGGAGUUAGUGGCGGACGGGUGAGUAACCCGUGGGAACGUGCCUUUUGGUUCGGAAUAACUCAGGGACACUUGUGCUAAUACCGAAUGUGCCCUUCGGGGGAAAGAUUUAUCGCCAUUAGAGCGGCCCGCGUCUGAUUAGCUAGUUGGUGAGGUAACGGCUCACCAAGGCGACGAUCAGUAGCUGGUCUGAGAGGAUGACCAGCCACACUGGGACUGAGACACGGCCCAGACUCCUACGGGAGGGAGCAGUGGGGAAUCUUGCGCAAUGGGCGAAAGCCUGACGCAGCCAUGCCGCGUGAAUGAUGAAGGUCUUAGGAUUGUAAAAUUCUUUCACCGGGGACGAUAAUGACGGUACCCGGAGAAGAAGCCCCGGCUAACUUCGUG